AGAACUACGUGGUAUAAUUUUUGAUAUGCUGUUGUACUCAGUCACUGUAGUUAGUUGAAAGUUAUUCACUGUGAAAGUGUACAAGAUAUUAAGAGGAAUAGACAGAGUGGACAGCCAGCACCUCUUCCCCAGGGCACCACUGCUCAGUACAAGAGGACAUGGCUUUAAGGUCAAAUGAAUGGAAUCACUGUUCCCACUCCAACCCACCUUGGCUUAACUUUGAAGGGCUCCUCCUCAUCUUGUCAAUGUGUCACCAUUGGGCUCAAUGGAACCCAAUGUUGGCAUACAUAACCCUCUGACAAUUAAGGUUCUCAGUAAAACCCUGGAAAGCAUGGAACUCUUCCCACUUCUCAGUCACCAUCUCUGCAAAAUUAAGGUUCAACAUUCCCUUCUGUGCAUUAUAAUAGAUUUUAGUCAUGUGAAGAAACAGAUGUUUGAAGAUUUAAAACCUCAACCUGGUACAAAACUCCUGGUUCAUUGGACAACUGUGAUUCUUCCUAUACCAAAAGUUUCAGAAAGUAGUUUGACAUUAAAGACACCGGAAAACAACACCAAUGCUCUCUCUGCAAAAACCAGCAAAACCAUUGGCAACAUAAACAAACCAACAUGAGCAUCCUCUCCUAUACCAAUGUCCUUGGAAAUGAGAGUUUAAACAUACAUUUUCAACUUUGCUGAGCAACAGACAUGGCAACUGCCAAUUCUAGCCCAGGGCAAGCAAAAAGGAAAAAUGGCAUAGACUGAAAUUAAAGUACCUCCAUACCCCUUUAAAAGGAAAAUAUGGAAAAAUAUUCUGAUGGCAAUCUGCUUACUUAUAAUUGAAUAAACUUGGAUCUUAACACCUUUGUAAAAUUUAAGAAGUUUGCAUGGAAUAAUACAUGCACACAGAUGUCAGAAGUCCAUAAAUCUAAUAUUGAUAAUCUGCUUUUACAUCCUAAGGUGCCCAGGGAAUGUAAUCAUACUUGUCCCAAAAGAGCCAGUGAACAAGUAGAGUUCUUUGUUCUUGCCAAAAUCACCCAUGGGUAUUGUAUUUUAGUUUCUAUUGGACCCAGGAAUCUUACUUAAUGCACACAAAACAAUGUUUACCAACUCCUCUAUUAGUAUCUGGCCUGAAGUCUAUAUCAAAGCUGUCUAUGACAUUUAAUCUGCUUGUAUGGAUUCUUUGUACACUUGCUGCAUAAUAGUGCAGUGCAGUAACAGUGGGAAAAAAUAUCUCAUUUCCUGAAACUCAGAAGACAAAAGUGUGAGACAGAAAGAUGAACUUGACACACCAUCAAGAAGGCAAGUCCUUCAAAAUCAAAUGACAAUAAACAAAAAUUCUAUCAGCUCAUAUGAUGAUUAUAUUUAUUUCCUAUGCAUAGAAUAUUUUUCAGAAUUCAUUUAAUGAGUUGAAGGUCACUGUUGUGAUUUCUUGUUAAGAUUUAGCUUCAUGCAUUUUCUCUGUAAACUGCUUCAACAACGUAGUAUAAUUAUUACUGUUCCAAUUAGAUUUAAAGUAAUGAAUAGGUUCCUAUUCAUAGAUUAUUUUAAUAAACAGAAAUUAUGAAAUCUCACAAUACACACAAAAUUCUGAAGAAACUCCCUUCUAUGAAGGGGAAUAAACAAUCAAUGUUUUGGACAA